rnacentral:misc_RNA from 1 species
GAAAUGCGAUAAGUAAUGUGAAUUGCAGAAUUCAGUGAAUCAUCGAAUCUUUGAACGCACCUUGCGCUCCUUGGUAUUCCGAGGAGCAUGCCUGUUUGAGUGUCAUGGAAUUCUCAACUCUAUUUGCUUUUGUGAAUAGAGCUUGGAUUUGGAGGUUUAUUGCUGGUACUUGUGAUCGGCUCCUCUUGAAUGCAUUAGCUCGAACCUUUGCGGAUCAGCUAUCGGUGUGAUAAUUGUCUACGCCGUUGCAGUGAAGCAUAUCAAUGGGCUCGGCUUCCAAUCGUCCUUUACUGGACAAUGACUUUGACAUUUGACCUCAAAUCAGGUAGGAUUACCCGCUGAACUUAAGC